rnacentral:lncRNA from 1 species
UAUUUUAAAGUAUGUAAUAACUUUGAAGUAUGGAUAAAAUAAGUAAAACAUUUCAUGUAUAAUGGACGUGAAAAAAUUUUAUUAUCAAAGAUAUUUCUUGGCAUAUUGUAUUACAGAGGGGUAUGUGUAAGUUCAAAAUUUCUCCUGACUGAGGAGGCCAGAAUUUUAUCUUUAUACUUCUGGGAGGCAACACAUAUGAUCACUAUCUUGUCAUCAUUUAUGUCCAAGUUUUUAUGCUCAUAAGGCUUUGCAGAACCAAGAAUUUUGUCUCAUAAACACUAAUACUUAGUAGUACAUAUUAGUCAGGCAUCUGUUGAGAUAACACCAAAAGGAAACAUGCUGUGUGGUUGUGUGUGUGUGUGUGUGUGUGUGUGUGUGUGUGUGUGUGUGUGUGUGUGUGUGUGUGUGUGUUUAAGUGUGUCUCUGUGUGUGUAUGUAUGUGUGUGUGUGUGUGUGUGUGUGUGUGUAUGAGUAUGUGGUGUUUGUGUCUUUGUGUGUGUGUGGUAUGUGUGUCUGUGUGUGUGUGUGUUUAAGUGUGUCUCUGUAUGUGUAUGUAUGUAUGUGUGUGUGUGUGUGUGUGUGUAUGAGUAUGUGGUGUUUGUGUCUUUGUGUGUGUGUGGUAUGUGUGUCUGUGUGUGUGUGUGGUAUGUGUGUCUGUGUGUGUAUGGUGUGUAUGUCUGUGUGUAUGUGUGUCUGUGUGUGUGUGUGUGGUAUGUGUCUCUGUGUGUGUGGUGGGUGUGUCUGUAUACAUGGAUGUGGUGAUUGGCACAAGUGAUAAGUGUAGUUUAGAAUCACUUAUUCUAGGCUGAUGCAGUUCUAGCUUUAGUCUGUAGGAAUCAACAGAACACAGAUUCUGACAGUGAUGUUCUGAAAUAGCAUUGUCUCAAGGCCAGGAAAUAGCUGACAUGUCAGCGUUGGAACAGUCAGGCUGUAGGUGACUUUCUCUUUUAUCCAGUUGGUGUCAGUCUACUUACUGCAUUCAUGUCUGCUGGUUACGUGAAAUCUACACCUCUGAGGCAUGGUAACUGUCUUUUCUAAGUCUAUUGAUUUACAGGUAUUUGUCUCAGAGAAACUCAGUAUGGAUUAGAAUACUCAUCCUUCACAAAAUGUCCCAUUUCAACUGAAUAGUGAAUCCUAGUUAGAUGUGGUGAUGCACUUUUGUUAAUUAUAGAAGAAGCCACCAUGCUUAUUUAUUGAUUAACACCCUUUCAUAUCAAAGGUAGAGACAGGAAACCUGGGGAUCCAGAAAAUUCUAGACAUAUCAACUAAUUUAUAGAAAGACAUAUUUUGGAUGUUAUGGGAGGCAGUGAUUUUGUUUGUUUGUUUGCUAGCUUGCUUGCUUGUUGGUUUUUCAAGACAGGGUUUCUCUGUGUAGCUCUGGCUGUCCUGAAAUUUACUCUGUAGACCAGGCUGGCCUCAAAUUCACAGAGAUCAGCCUUCCUGUUGGGAUUAAAGGUAUGCACCACCACUGCCUGCCAGUAACCUACUUGCUAUCUAUAAAGCCAUGAAAACAUCCCCCAUGCGUUUCUGAAGAUCAGGUGUUGCCUGGUCCUCACUUAGCUUCAUUCGUACAACAGGCUGUGUGGAAUCCUUUUAUUUUCUCUCUUAUUAUGUUUCUAACUCCAUCUCCUUGUUCUUCAAGAUGUGGAACUCAGCACAUUCAGAUUCUCCAGAUUCUUCAAACCUUGCUCUCUCUGAAGAUGAAACCCUAGUGAUUCUUUCAUUGUUCUUUUAAAAGCAUUUCUAAAGAGUUUUCUUAAAGAAAAUAAAUGACUGCCUAGAGGUCCCCAAAGUCAACUUACAUGCAUUUAAUCUAUCUUAAGCAAUGAAAACCUUACACACAGGCUAGAUAUCUCGAUAAGACAAUGGAACAUAAAUGAUAUUCUGUAGAAUGCUUUAACCACUAUAUCCCCAGCAAUUCUAGCUGCCUCACCAUCCAGUUACUACGUUCUGAUUAGAUAGAUGAUAGAUAGAUAGAUAGAUAGAUAGAUAGAUAGAUAGAUAGAUAGAUAGAUACUGUUUGGCCCAAUUUGAGUUGAAUUUGCUAACCAGCCUUUCCUUUUCUUUCUUCUUCUUCCUCUCCUCCUCCUCUUCUACCUCUUUGUUCUCCUCUUUCUCCUCCUCUUCAUCCUUUUUCUUGGCUAAAGAAAAGUGCUACUGUGUCAGACUAAACCAUCUUUUCUUAAGAUAGGAUAGCAAUAUCUAGAGACAUUAUGGAAAUAGUCUAGUCCCUGACAUAAAAUUUACAUGAAAUAUGUUCAUACAAAUAUUAUAACUAUGUAAUCUACAGUUGCUGCUAUAGGUUUCUGAACAAUGCAUGUUCUAAACAACAAUCUCUGAACCAAAUAUGCUCCACAGCUGUAAAAAAAAAUAUUCUUUUCAUUAAAAUAAAAAAUUAAUAUCACUAAAAUUCAAAACCUAUUUUUACUUC